AAAGUUCUCAAUCUGUUGGACUUCACCAGCAAGCGGAAGAGAAUGUCUGUUAUCAUUCGAGAUGAGAGAGGCCAGAUUCUUCUAUUGUGUAAAGGAGCAGACAGCAUUGUCUAUGAGAGAUUAGCUAAGAAUGGAAGGAGAUUUGAGGAGGCUACGACAAAGCAUUUAAAUGAAUAUGGGGAAGCAGGGUUACGUACUCUCGUGCUUGCCUACAAAAAGCUGGAUGAGGCAGAGUACUCGGCGUGGAAUGAAGAAUUUGCUAAAGCCAAAGCUUCAAUCAGUGGUGAUAGAGAUGCCAUGCUCGAACGUCUAUCUGAUAUGAUGGAAAAGGAAUUGAUCCUUGUUGGUGCUACGGCUGUUGAGGAUAAACUACAGAAGGGAGUUCCUCAGUGUAUUGAUAAACUGGCGCAAGCUGGUCUCAAGAUCUGGGUUCUGACAGGUGACAAGAUGGAAACAGCCAUCAACAUAGGGUAUGCAUGUAGUCUACUUCGGCAUGGGAUGAGACAAAUAUGCAUCACUGCAAUGAAUGCAGACUCAGUGGAAAGAAACUCUGAACAG
rnacentral:misc_RNA from 1 species